GACGAACGCUGGCGGCGUGCUUAACACAUGCAAGCCGAACGGAAAGGCCCUGCUUUUGUGGGGUGCUCGAGUGGCGAACGGGUGAGUAACACGUGAGUAACCUGCCCUUGACUUUGGGAUAACUUCAGGAAACUGGGGCUAAUACCGGAUAGGAGCUCCUGCUGCAUGGUGGGGGUUGGAAAGUUUCGGCGGUUGGGGAUGGACUCGCGGCUUAUCAGCUUGUUGGUGGGGUAGUGGCUUACCAAGGCUUUGACGGGUAGCCGGCCUGAGAGGGUGACCGGCCACAUUGGGACUGAGAUACGGCCCAGACUCCUACGGGAGGCAGCAGUGGGGAAUAUUGCACAAUGGGCGGAAGCCUGAUGCAGCAACGCCGCGUGCGGGAUGACGGCCUUCGGGUUGUAAACCGCUUUCGCCUGUGACGAAGCGUGAGUGACGGUAAUGGGUAAAGAAGCACCGGCUAACUACGUGCCAGCAGCCGCGGUGAUACGUAGGGUGCGAGCGUUGUCCGGAUUUAUUGGGCGUAAAGGGCUCGUAGGUGGUUGAUCGCGUCGGAAGUGUAAUCUUGGGGCUUAACCCUGAGCGUGCUUUCGAUACGGGUUGACUUGAGGAAGGUAGGGGGGAAUGGAAUUCCUGGUGGAGCGGUGGAAUGCGCAGAUAUCAGGAGGAACACCAGUGGCGAAGGCGGUUCUCUGGGCCUUUCCUGACGCUGAGGAGCAAAAGCGUGGGGAGCGAACAGGCUUAGAUACCCCGGUAGUCCACGCUGUAAACGGUGGGUACUAGGUGUGGGGUCCAUUCCACGGGUUCCGUGCCGUAGCUAACGCUUUAAGUACCCCGCCUGGGGAGUACGGCCGCAAGGCUAAAACUCAAAGGAAUUGACGGGGCCCCGCACAAGCGGCGGAGCAUGCGGAUUAAUUCGAUGCAACGCGUAGAACCUUACCUGGGUUUGACAUGGAUCGGGAGUGCUCAGAGAUGGGUGUGCCUCUUUUGGGGUCGGUUCACAGGUGGUGCAUGCCUGUCGUCAGCUCGUGUCGUGAGAUGUUGGGUUAAGUCCCGCAACGAGCGCAACCCUUGUUCACUGUUGCCAGCACGUUAUGGUGGGGACUCAGUGGAGACCGCCGGGGUCAACUCGGAGGAAGGUGGGGAUGACGUCAAGUCAUCAUGCCCCUUAUGUCCAGGGCUUCACGCAUGCUACAAUGGCUGGUACAGAGAGUGGCGAGCCUGUGAGGGUGAGCGAAUCUCGGAAAGCCGGUCUCAGUUCGGAUUGGGGUCUGCAACUCGACCUCAUGAAGUCGGAGUCGCUAGUAAUCGCAGAUCAGCAACGCUGCGGUGAAUACGUUCCCGGGGCU
rnacentral:rRNA from 1 species